rnacentral:lncRNA from 1 species
GUGUCCCACCAUGUGUGUGGAGGUUAGAGGACAUUUUUGUCAGACCUUAUCUUACCUUGUUUGGAACUAGGUGUGUGGUUUGAUGUUGCACAUGGCAGGCUGCCUGAACGACAAGCUCCCAGGCAAAUUUCUGUUUCUCCUGCUUUUCCUGCUUCCUAAAAGCUCUGAUAUUACAGGUGUGUGCUCAACUUUCGCAUGGGUUCAAAAUCAGUUCUUCACACUUUGCAGGGCAGAUGAGAAUCAAAAGCCUUGGAAGCUGUGAGGAAGGCAUCUUCCUGUCACCCUACAGGUAGUAAUAAGUUUCUUUAUUAUGUCUCAUGAGCAGUGUUGGGGUGCAGGAAUCACUCCACAAACCAGACAGCCAUUUCAGUCAAGCAGGGACAGUUUAUGGAACAUAUAUCCUGGGACUGAUUGGUCAGGGACACAUGUCACACAGGGGAGUAGAGACUGCAACCCUAUUUCCAAGGACUGUAGUAUGAAAGGCAAAACCACAGAAGCUCUUAGCAACUAAGAGCUCAUACACAGGUGCCGAAAGUCUUCCCAGGCAGUUGGGUGGUUGGUUCGGGUCCAAGGUUAUUGUUACUAGCAUACAAAGCAAUUCUAACUGACCUUAACUAUGAUUGGCCCUAAAGGAGGGCACAGGUUAGGGUAAUUUCCAGGAACAACAGACCACACAACUUAGUGCGAUAUGCAGUUAAUGAUUAGCUGGGCAUGAGAAAGGUCUUCUGUAAUAAUGUAAGAUGGCUGGCGACAGGUAUUAAAGUGGAUAGAGUAAUGUCAGAAAGGCAGCAGCCACCUCCGUCUUAAAGAGAAGAUUACACACACACACACACACACACACACACACGCGUGUGUGUGUGUGUAUAAUUAAUAUAUAUAUAUAUAUAUGUAUCUGUAGUAUAUUCUUAAACCCAUAGUUGAAAUGCAAAAGGGACCCAUGGAAGGUAGACAUAAGGAUUUUAAAGCAGGAGGCACAGCAAACCUUCAAACAGAGAACUAAGGACAGCAAACCAUCCUACAGGCUUUGAUUUCUAAAAGCCUAAAGGCUCCCCAUAGCCAACCUAAGCCAGAGCCUUGGAGUCCUUCCCAACCAUGCAAGGACAGGUCCUAUUGUGACCUCAUGAGGAGCGACUGUGAGGCGGUCCAGCCAACAGAUGUUAAGCUGUAGCCAGGCCUGGAUUUCCUUGAGUGUGUUUAGAGGAGUGGUGGAGUGGAGACUUUGGUGAUUUUGGUGGAUCUAGUGAGCAGUGUGUGGAUUUUGCAUUUGAUUGAUUUGUGAGUAGCUUGUGUAUGUGUGUCUAGGUCAGUGUUUGUGUGGACAGUUGCUUUUGUGUGUGUGUGUGUGUGUGUGUGUGUGUGUGUGUUGGUAUACUUGGUGGUGACUGUGAGUGCAUCUGUGAGUGUGGGUGUGUGUGUGUGCCCAACUGUGUGUGAGUGUCUGUUGUGCCCUGUUGGUGCACUAGUUGUAGGUGUGAGAACACCUGUGUGAGGAAAAGUUUUGAGGCCGGCAGUCAGCUUGGCCAUUGUUUCUAAGUGCACAGCAGAGGCAAGAAGACCAUCAACACUGAAAGCACAGAAGACAAAUCCAGUGACUCAGCAGAGGUUAAGCCUGUCGCAAGCAGGCCCUGGCCCAAAAGAUUUAGGGGGUGGGUCAAGAACAUCCGAAAUGGCCUGAUGAACCUGUGUUGCUGCAUUCCGUCCAGAAAAAAACCUCCCCUGGGGCACAACAGAGUUGUUCCCCAGAAAUGAAGAACAUGGAAGGAAUCCAGAGAGCAAGCAUCCAACACUGCCCAGAAGAUCACUAGAGGAUGCCGGAUGCUGCAUCUCUGCAGUCCCAGUAUUGAAGUGGACCCACGUGUGGACACGGUCCUGCAGAAGGGAGCGCUGUGAGAGCUGUCACCUUCCAGGUCAGCUGUGGAAGGAUGAAAGCAAAUGAAGAGAUGCCAGGUGGCAAGAGAGCACCUCAAAGGCAUCACUCUUCCUGGUGGAGGUUGAAAACCAGUCCAAAGCUGAUAAAGACCAGAGCCCUUUUGCCGACCAGGGUCACAUCACACACCUCCUCUUGGCACAAGUUCUCGCCUCACUCUUAGUGGAGAAUAUAUGUCUUCUCAAUGUGUUUAUCCGACUCUGAGAAUAAAAUAGCUGUUUGUGAAAG